GGCAAUUGUCUUGUGAUUAGGAAAAUAUUUUUUAGAAAAUGCUUGAGUCAUCUCCACCCAAGAACCUAUAGACUUAGUCCUUAAGGAAUAUAGCCAACUUUUUGCUUUUUCUUUUAAAGAAAAUGGAAAAAAAUUUAACCUUAUGAAAUUAAUCCUAUCACGUUGACCAUUGUAAAAGGUGCCAAUAGCUUCUUCAAAUUCCCUAACAUGCACGUAUGGAUUUU
rnacentral:lncRNA from 1 species